rnacentral:rRNA from 1 species
UACGUAGGGCGCAAGCGUUGUCCGGAAUUACUGGGCGUAAAGCGCGUGUAGGCUGCUUGGAAAGUCGGAUGUGAAAGCCCUGGGCUCAACCUAGGAAGUGCAUUCGAAACUUCUGAGCUUGAGUAUCGGAGAGGAAGGCGGAAUUCUCGGUGUAGAGGUGAAAUUCGUAGAUAUCGAGAGGAACACCGGUGGCGAAGGCGGCCUUCUGGACGAUUACUGACGCUGAGACGCGAAAGCGUGGGGAGCAAACAGG